rnacentral:lncRNA from 1 species
CUUUGUUCCAAGUCCCCCGCUCUUGUCUCUGUGUGGGAGAGCUGUUCUCUUCUUUCUUCCUUCUUUCUUGCCUAUUAAACUUUUCGCUCCUUAAAACCACUCCACGUGUGUCCAUGUUGUUACUCCUAUCUGCGCGAGGCCAAGGACCCUGCUGUUCCUUCAGUCAUCAGAGUCAUUAUUUUGGUGCAUGGGCCUGGAAUUCAUUCUUCAGAGUGCCAACCUGGGAAGGGACCUCCACUGUUCUUCUUUCAACCUUCUUGGCAGUAAACGUUACAGGAAUCAACUCCUGGAUACAUCACACUCAAUUCAAAGCCUGAAGAGCUGAGGGAGCAACCCUUGACAGCCCAGAGGAACGUCCUGAAUAUCAGUGUGGAGAAAUAGAAGAUCUUAACCUAAAAAUCAUAAAAGAUAAGAAACUGAGUGAGGGCUACUCAUCUUACUGAGUCCCACCUUUACCUCAAUAGAUACUUUUUGUCAUUUCUGUCCUUUCCUCUCAAAAUUUGCC